rnacentral:lncRNA from 1 species
AGCCAAUGCCAGGUGCUUCAAAGGGAAUGAACAGACUAGGCAAUCAAUGGAAUUGUCUCCCUUUCUCUGUUCAGACACAGAACAGAAUGAAACUGAUGGCAGACAACUAUGAUGAUGACCAUCAUCACUUCCACCACCACCAUCACCACCACCACCACCGGUCUCCUGGGAGGACCCAGCACUCGAAUCACCGACCGUCUCCAGAUCAGGAUGAUGAGGAGGGUAUAUGGGCAUAGCCAUUCCUAUAAACGAAAGUUCCAGUUUUAUUCUGAGGGAUGAUCCAGUCACUGUUGGAGGCACAUAGCCAUGGCAAAUCUCACGCUGUACAUUGAUCACCUGUCCAACCUUUGCCUAGAGUGUGAUCCCCAGUUCCUUCAAGAGUUCCAUCUUUACCUGUCCAUAGAGAGGAGGAGGAGAGAGACAUCUGGGAUAACCACACUUCAAAGAUUAACACCAGAGCAGUUGUCAGAGGAGCUGGAGAAAGAGGAGGAAAAAAUGCAGCACUGCAGAAUUAAGCUGAUAAUCUAUUGCAGUCGAUCUCCAAACAUAACCAUGACAUCCUGGAGCAGAUCAUAGAAACAGAAGAUGAAUGCUGAGGUUGUUACCAGAUGAAAUGCUGCAUGAAUUGGUGUCUACUCCAUUAUUUCUUGUAGUCAUUAUGAAGUCAGAUGCUCUGGAAAAUACUGAAGGGGACUCAAUCAGAAAUUACAAAAACUUCAUUUCCGCCUUUAAUGGGUCUUGUGUUCAGAAUAUUAUUAUUUAAUGAAGUUCAGUUAAAUGAAUUCUUUUAACCAAUUUUGAUAAAUUGGUAUUGAUUUUUAAUGUAUAUUUCAGGUUGUGUUAGGUGCAGUAUCUUCAUCUGCUGAUUCUGCCUAGCGUAUUCUACAGUAACACUUCUAAAGUGGACUAGAUUGUCAAAAAGGUAUUAGUACACUAUUAUAUAAUGGAGUCUGCAUUAAUCUUACCCCCAGUUAGAAGUGGGCUUUUCAGAAAAGUAAAAACUAAGCCUUUACCCUCCUCUGUUUUCUUAUAUCUACUGUUACUCAAAUAAUCACAUUUUGAUAACGUAACGAGUAUUAAGCUCUGGGCCAGGUUGGAAAUGAAAUCAAUUUUUGGUACUACUUGCUGUUGGCAAGGAUUAGCCUUAUGAAAAUAUGGUGUGUGUCUCUGACAAUGCAUGGGACAUCUAAAUUGAUCAUCAAUAAUUUACAUACCAAAUAUAUAUAUUAGCGGAUGGUAAAAGCUUGAGGUAUGUAUAUGUACAUAUGUGUAUACAUGCACACGUAUACAGGAGUGGAUCAACCUUUUAACAUCCGAAUGCAUACAGGUAUGUAUUAAUAAAAGCUGGGACUCAUAAAUAUAUCA